UACGGAGGGUGCAAGCGUUGCUCGGAAUUAUUGGGCGUAAAGGGUGCGUAGGCGGGUCUUUAAGUCAGGGGUGAAAUCCUGGAGCUCAACUCCAGAACUGCCUUUGAUACUGAGGAUCUUGAGUACGGGAGAGGUGAGUGGAACUGCGAGUGUAGAGGUGAAAUUCGUAGAUAUUCGCAAGAACACCAGUGGCGAAGGCGGCUCACUGGCCCGUAACUGACGCUGAGGCACGAAAGCGUGGGGAGCAAACAGG
rnacentral:rRNA from 1 species